UGGGGAAUUUUGGACAAUGGGCGAAAGCCUGACCCAGCAAUGCCGCGUGUGUGAAGAAGGCCUUCGGGUUGUAAAGCACUUUUGUCCGGAAAGAAAUCCUUGGCUCUAAUACAGUCGGGGGAUGACGGUACCGGAAGAAUAAGCACCGGCUAACUACGUGCCAGCAGCCGCGGUAAUACGUAGGGUGCAAGCGUUAAUCGGAAUUACUGGGCGUAAAGCGUGCGCAGGCGGUUUGCUAAGACCGAUGUGAAAUCCCCGGGCUCAACCUGGGAACUGCAUUGGUGACUGGCAGGCUAGAGUAUGGCAGAGGGGGGUAGAAUUCCACGUGUAGCAGUGAAAUGCGUAGAGAUGUGGAGGAAUACCGAUGGCGAAGGCAGCCCCCUGGGCCAAUACUGACGCUCAUGCACGAAAGCGUGGGGAGCAAACAGGAUUAGAUACCCUGGUAGUCCACGCCCUAAACGAUGUCAACUAGUUGUUGGGGAUUCAUUUCCUUAGUAACGUAGCUAACGCGUGAAGUUGACCGCCUGGGGAGUACGGUCGCAAGAUUAAAACUCAAAGGAAUUGACGGGGUCAUAGCUGUUUCCU
rnacentral:rRNA from 1 species